rnacentral:misc_RNA from 1 species
GAUGAAGAACGUAGCGAAAUGCGAUACGUAAUGUGAAUUGCAAAUUCAGUGAAUCAUCGAGUCUUUGAACGCACAUUGCGCCCCCUGGUAUUUCGGGGGGCAUGCCUGUCCGAGCGUCAUUGCUGCCCUCAAGCACGGCUUGUGUGUUGGGCCCCGUCCUCCGAUCCCGGGGGACGGGCCCGAAAGGCAGCGGCGGCACCGCGUCCGGUCCUCAAGCGUAUGGGGCUUUGUCACCCGCUCUGUAGGCCCGGCCGGCGCUUGCCGAUCAACCCAAAUUUUUAUCCAGGUUGACCUCGGAUCAGGUAGGGAUACCCGCUGAACUUAAGCAUAUCAAUAAGCGGAGGA